rnacentral:lncRNA from 10 species
UGUGUGUGUGUGUGUGCGUGUGAGAGAGAGAUUAGAGGGCGGGGAGGGGAGAAGAGAGGAAGCAAGCUAACCGGAGAGAGAGCAGCUUGAGCUGAGCUUUCACUCACCGUCCACCACUGCUGUUUGCUGCCAUCGCAGACUUGCCACUGACUUCCACCCCUCCAGAUCCAGCAGGGUGUCUGCUGCUCUCCUGAUCCAGCGAGGUGCUCAUUGCCACUCCUGAUCGGGCUAAAGGCUCUCUAUCGUUCCUGCACAGCUAAGUGCCCGGGUUUGUCCUAAUUGAGCUGAACACUAGUCUCUCGGUUCCAUGGUUCUCUUCCGUGACCCAUGGCUUCUAAUAGAGCUAUAACACUCACUGCAUGGCCCAAGGUUCCAUUCCUUGGAAUCCAUGAGUCCAAGAACCCCAGGUCAGAGAACAAAAGGCUUGCUGCCAUCUUGGGAGUGGCCCGCCACAUCUUGGGAGAGCUAAGAACAAAGACCUGCCCGUAACAUUUGGUGGUAACCGUAUGGGAAUUCUCCAAAGCAGUCAUGGGUUUUGAAAUCUCACGUUAUUUGACAACACCUUCAAGAGAAGAAGAGUUAUGCCUGACUACUACUGGCAUUGUAGAUGGCAGAAUAUCUCAGGACAUGAAGUUCGCAGCCAUGCCAGCCAUUUUGUGCUUGUAAGGGAAGCUCCUGCCAGCCAACUGGGAAAACAGAGCAGAGAUCACAAGAGCCCAGCCUUUGCUGACACCAUGAGCUGCUGGAAUCGCCUACCUCUGGAUGUCUUGCUUUGUGAAAUAAAC